GGUCUUAUAGUAUAAAAAUAAUAUUAAAUUGCAAGUUUAAAGAUGUGUAAAUCACUGAGGCUU
rnacentral:tRNA from 1 species